AAUACGUAAUCGUUGUGUAAGCGGAGUUCCUGUCAAGCGUCAACACACUAGAAAAACAUAAACCCGGGCAAGUUUAAAAUGGAUCAAAGAGUCUACAAAACUUCGUUAACGGAUUUGCCAAAUAUUACAUUUGCUGAUGUGACACGACUAAUGGAGGAAAACUUUUUCCAUGAAGAAUUUGUCCAUAAAUUUCUAGGUGUCAAAGCUGUGCGAAACUGGAGGGAGAAACUUGAGAGACUGUGCCGGAAGAAUGCUGGACAGAGUUCACUAAAAUUCAUUAAUUUCAAAGUUCAACAUGAAUGGUGGUGGUCCACUGCAGAAGCAAGCAUUUGAAAAAACAUCAGUUCUCAGUUAUUAAAGAUGCUGUGUUGAACAACUUCCCAUCAGCAACAGAACUGGAAGUGAAGGAUGCAAUGGGGGCAUUUCAAACAGGCACCAGGGAGCACGGUAGUGAUGGGUCGUUCGCGAACGCCGGCUCUAAGAGCUGAUUCUUUGUAGCGAACGAGCAGAGCCGAAUCUUCAGACGCAGGCAGGGGAGCCGGCUCUUCUAAGGGAGCUGAGCCAGAAGAGCCGAAUCUAUGAAAAGAGCCGGGCUGCCAUCAUUAAAAUGUAGAGCCGGAGCUUGAGCCGAAAGAGCCGAAUCAAUGGAAAGAGCCGGACUGCCCAUCACUAGAGCAUGGGGGGGGGUAUAGAAAUUAGUACAAUUAAUAAGUUGACGUGAACUGAAGAUAGUUUGUUAAUGUUUAGAUGUUAUUUCAUUUUUCAAAUUGUAUUUUGUUAUUUAUGCUUUUAUUUUGUUACUGUUUUUAUCCUUUUUGUUAAGUUGUUUUUCUUCAUUUUGUCUUAUCUGAAUUUCUAUUGUAUUAACAAUAUUUUUUGUAAUAAAUUGCAUGAUUCAUGUUUAUGAGAGCCUUUUUUAAUGGAUUAAAAAGAAUUGUUUA